CGCGUCUUAGCAUGCAAGUUGAGCGGCAGGCUGUAGCAAUACGGCUGAGAGCGGCGGACUGGUGAGUAACGCGUGGGUGACCUACCUUGGGGAUGGGGAUAGCCGUUAGAAAUAGCGGGUAAUACCGAAUACGCUCGUUGGACAGAGGUUUAGCGAGGAAAGGGGCUUUGGCCUCGACCUGAGAUGGGCCCGCGUCCCAUUAGGUAGUUGGAGGGGUAAAGGCCCACCAAGCCGGAGAUGGGUAGCCGGCCUGAGAGGGUGAACGGCCACACUGGGACUGAGAUACGGCCCAGACUCCUACGGGAGGCAGCAGCUAAGAAUAUUCCGCAAUGGGCGAAAGCCUGACGGAGCGACGCCGCGUGUAUGAAGAAGGCCGAAAGGUUGUAAAGUACUUUUGCGGAUGAAGAAUAAGGCUGGGAGGGAAUGCCCGGUUGAUGACGAUAGUCCGUGAAUAAGCCCCGGCUAAUUACGUGCCAGCAGCCGCGGUAACACGUAAGGGGCGAGCGUUGUUCGGAAUUAUUGGGCGUAAAGGGCGCGUAGGCGGUCGAGUAAGUCUGGCGUGAAAUGGCGGGGCCCAACCCCGUCACUGCGUUGGAAACCGCGCGACUUGGGUCACGGAGGGGCAGUUGGAAUUCCUGGUGUAGGGGUGAAAUCUGUAGAUAUCAGGAAGAACACCGGUGGCGAAGGCGAACUGCCAGCCGAUGACUGACGCUGAGGCGCGAAAGCGCGGGGAGCGAACAGGAUUAGAUACCCUGGUAGUCCGCGCUAUAAACGAUGCACACUAGGUGUCGGGUCGAGCGAUUCGGCGCCGGAGCGAACGCGAUAAGUGUGCCGCCUGGGGAGUAUGCCCGCAAGGGUGAAACUCAAAGGAAUUGACGGGGGCCCGCACAAGCGGUGGAGCAUGUGGUUUAAUUCGAUGAUACGCGAGGAACCUUACCUGGGUUUGACAUGCGGAGGGAUGGCGUAGAGAUACGUCAGCCGGGCAACCGGCCUCCGCGCAGUGCUGCAUGGCUGUCGUCAGCU
rnacentral:rRNA from 1 species